rnacentral:lncRNA from 1 species
GGAAAGAACAGUUUUUUUCUUGAGACUCAAAGUCUUCGAAGGGGGGGAGGAGGAGGGAUUCUGGAAUUUUGAGAAAGGACAGUAGUUAAAAAAAAAAUAAAAA